rnacentral:lncRNA from 1 species
CUUCAGGUGAUCCACUUGCCUUGGCCUUGCAAAUUGCUAGGAUUACACACAUGCACACAGUUAAGUCCCUCUGUUGUAGGCUCUCACAACAGAGAGCCUGGGAGAGGUCUUGUGCUUCUCCCAGCUGUGCCUUGCACAGUUGAAACACAUCACACAACCAUGCCUUGUACAGUUGAAACACAUCAUCCCAUGGCCUUCCCUUGCACAGUUGAAGCACAUUGUUCCACAGUCUUGCCUCGCACAGCUGAAACACAUUGGCUCAUGGUCUUGCCUCACACAGCUGAAACAUGUCGGCCCACACCUAACAUUGCUGCUCCUGCAAACUCUGCUCCCCAAAGGUUUCAACCACAUC